AUUGAACGCUGGCGGCAGGCCUAACACAUGCAAGUCGAGCGGAUGAAGGGAGCUUGCUCCUGGCUUCAGCGGCGGACGGGUGAGUAAUGCCUAGGAAUCUGCCUGGUCGUGGGGGAUAACGUCCGGAAACGGGCGCUAAUACCGCAUACGUCCUGAGGGAGAAAGUGGGGGAUCUUCGGACCUCACGCUAUCAGAUGAGCCUAGGUCGGAUUAGCUAGUUGGUGGGGUAAAGGCCUACCAAGGCGACGAUCCGUAACUGGUCUGAGAGGAUGAUCAGUCACACUGGAACUGAGACACGGUCCAGACUCCUACGGGAGGCAGCAGUGGGGAAUAUUGGACAAUGGGCGAAAGCCUGAUCCAGCCAUGCCGCGUGAGUGAAGAAGGUCUUCGGAUUGUAAAGCACUUUAAGUAGGGAGGAAGGACAGUAAGUUAAUACCUUGCUGUUUUGACGGUACCAACAGAAUAAGCACCGGCUAACUUCGUG
rnacentral:rRNA from 1 species